rnacentral:rRNA from 1 species
AGUGAACGCUGGCGGUAGGCCUAACACAUGCAAGUCGAACGGCAGCACAGUAAGAGCUUGCUCUUACGGGUGGCGAGUGGCGGACGGGUGAGGAAUACAUCGGAAUCUACUUUUUCGUGGGGGAUAACGUAGGGAAACUUACGCUAAUACCGCAUACGACCUACGGGUGAAAGCAGGGGUUCUUCGGACCUUGCGCGACUGAAUGAGCCGAUGUCGGAUUAGCUAGUUGGCGGGGUAAAGGCCCACCAAGGCGACGAUCCGUAGCUGGUCUGAGAGGAUGAUCAGCCACACUGGAACUGAGACACGGUCCAGACUCCUACGGGAGGCAGCAGUGGGGAAUAUUGGACAAUGGGCGCAAGCCUGAUCCAGCCAUACCGCGUGAGUGAAGAAGGCCUUCGGGUUGUAAGGCCCUUUUGUUGGGAAAGAAAAGCAGCAGGUUAAUACCCCGCUGUUCUGACGGUACCCAAAGAAUAAGCACCGGCUAACUUCGUG